ensembl:misc_RNA Metazoa_SRP Metazoan signal recognition particle RNA
GCUGGGUGUGGUUGUGUACGCCUGUAGUCCCAGCUACUUGGGAGGCUAAGGCAGGAGGAUUGCUUGAGCCCAGGAGUUUGAGGCCGCAGUGAGCUGUGAUUGCACUGCCGCAUCCAGCCUGGGCAACAGAGAGAGACCCUGUCUCAA